GAUGAACGCUGGCGGCGUGCCUAAUACAUGCAAGUCGAGCGAACGGACGAGGAGCUUGCUUCUCUGACGUUAGCGGCGGACGGGUGAGUAACACGUGGAUAACCUACCUAUAAGACUGGGAUAACUUCGGGAAACCGGAGCUAAUACCGGAUAAUAUUUUGAACCGCAUGGUUCAAAAGUGAAAGACGGUCUUGCUGUCACUUAUAGAUGGAUCCGCGCUGCAUUAGCUAGUUGGUAAGGUAACGGCUUACCAAGGCAACGAUGCAUAGCCGACCUGAGAGGGUGAUCGGCCACACUGGAACUGAGACACGGUCCAGACUCCUACGGGAGGCAGCAGUAGGGAAUCUUCCGCAAUGGGCGAAAGCCUGACGGAGCAACGCCGCGUGAGUGAUGAAGGUCUUCGGAUCGUAAAACUCUGUUAUUAGGGAAGAACAUAUGUGUAAGUAACUGUGCACAUCUUGACGGUACCUAAUCAGAAAGCCACGGCUAACUACGUG
rnacentral:rRNA from 1 species